GGUGGCUCAGUGGUAGAGUGCUUGCCUUGCAUGCAUGAAGCCCUGGGUUCAAUUCCUCAGUACCA
rfam:Dipodomys ordii contig_51335, whole genome shotgun sequence.